UAUACCGAGAUAAGUCCACACUUUUCUGAUUCGAUUUCUCUGGACCACACUCCCAUGAGAGGCCAUGCUGAUGAGAUGUUACGGAAAGGGAAGAUCAUCACCACGACGCUUCUACUAAUUUUUAUAACCAGCCAUGCCUCUUCAGACCUCGACUGGGGUUUUGACACGAAUGCCGUCGACUACGUUGCAGGAAAGCCUUGCAAGUCAAGUGCUGACUGCGAGCCAACAAAAGAAUAUUGUUGCGUGAAACAAGGUUAUCGAUAUAGACAAGGAUUUUGCAACUAUAGAGGUGUAGACGGAGAAAGGUGCAGCAAUUUUCUUGCCAGAGAUAACGAGAAUAACAACUACUAUGCCCCUUACCUUUAUCGGUGCCCUUGUGUGCAACCAAACUAUACGUGUCAUCGACGUCACGGUCUCCAUACGUACGGCACUUGCCAACCGUACAGCCGCGUCAAGCCUGGUUAAUACGCGAUGGAGCACUUGAGCAACCAGAUUAAAAAAAAAAGACAUGUGAUCGUUUAACCAGCGAGAAUAUCAACUUAUAAGUUUCAUUGCAGUUGAAUAAAAAUGCUUGGAGUCACAGGA